rnacentral:lncRNA from 1 species
AUGGGUAGGAGCCGACGAGGAGGGGGGCCAUAUCAUGUUAGGGGAGCGCGUCCCCGCUGUAUCCGAAACGUGGCGCGCUCCGACCCCUUGGCCUCUUCUCAAUCUCUGGGGGUUUUGGGAUCUAGGGCCCCUGGGCUCCAGCUAGUGUAUUUUAAUGCCAGGUCCGUGGCGAAUAAGGCACCUCUCCUCUGGGAGGUUAUUGAGGAGGAGGCCGUGGACCUGGCCUGCAUCACCGAGACCUGGCUGGGGCCGGAGGGUGGAGUCCCUCUGGUCGAUAUUUGCCCCCCAGGUUUUCAGGUUAUGCACCGUUCUCGACCCCAGGGAAGGGGUAGAGGGGUGGCUGUUGUUAUUCGGGAGACCCUGCUUCCAAGGGAGGUCCCUGCUCCGGAGAUAGGUGGGUGUGAGUCCCUCCUUGUGAGGUUUGGGCCUAGUGGUCGGAUGGGUGUGCUGCUUACAUACCUGUCCCCCAGCUGUGUAUCAGCCGCCCUGCCUGGGCUGCUCGAUGCCGUCUCGGGGGUGGCGGUGGAGUUCCCAGAGCUUAUAGUUCUGGGUGACUUCAACCUGCCCUCCUUGGGGGCGGCGUUGGGGUUGGCCCAGGAAUUUAUGGCUUCCAUGGAGUCCAUGGGUCUGACCCAGUUAAUAGAUGGCCCGACUCACGAGGGGGUCAAUAUGCUUGACCUGGUUUUUGUCUCGGAGCGGUGGCGUAGUGGCCUGGGGGAUGGUGUUAUAGAAACCCACCCCAUUCCAUGGUCAGACCACUAUCUCCUAUGGCUGGUCUUCCAUCAAGCCGCCCCACACCGCUGGGAUGAGGAGCCACUUAGAUGGUUCCACCCCAGGCGCCUGAUGGACCCUGAGAGGUUUCAGGCAGAACUAGGUUUUUUUCCUGCAUCCCUCACCCACAGCUCUGCUGAGGUCCUUGCGGCUACCUGGCAACAGUGGGCCGCGGGGGCUCUUGACAGGGUUGUCCCCAUGCAUCCCCUUACUCAACGCAGAUCCCGGUCAGCUCCCUGGUAUACCAAGGAGCUCCGGGAGAUGAAGCAUCGUGGAAGGGGACUAGAGAGUAGGAGGAGGGUAACCCGCUCUGGAUCCGACCGAGCCCAGUUGAGAGCCCAUAUUAGGACUUACCUGGUAGCUGUGGGGGCGGCAAGGAGAUCUUACUUCUCCGCCCUCAUAGCAUCCGCAGAUAACCACCCAGCCGCCCUGUUUGGGGUUGCCCAUUCCCCCUUACAGUUGGGGGAGGUGGUGGACCCCUGCGGGGCAGAGCUGAGGAAUUUGGUCUUUAUCUGCAGGAUAAAAUUGCUCGGAUCCGGGAAGGGUUGCGCUCGGACUUGCAGUGGUCUGAGGAAGGGGAGGCGAGAGGUCUGGCUAAUGUAA